CAGGACUGAAGUAUUACAGAAGACUGAGUUAUCUGAAAUAAGAAAGCCAAAUACUCAAUUUUCCUUCAGGACUGAAUAUGAAGCUUAUUGGAACAGGUGACUAUUACCAUCUGUCUAGGGACUACAGCACUUCAUAUUGACCUGUUCUGUACUGCCAAGCUGUAAAAUGAACCAAAAACAACAAAGAUCCUCUCUCUUGGCCACACUUCAGAAUCCAGGAAGAACUAGGUCAUCCGGAUCUCCUCAGGGGAUGUGGACGUCUAUGCGCAAAACUGGGAAGCAUCAGAAACUCCUCUGAAGGAAGAACACACAGACUCGCUGAGCGCUCCUUGGUCCAGCUGUGUUAAAAGUUAUCAUUUUAAUCUUCAUCGUGUGAUAAAAGCCUAAUGCAUCUCAUGCAUAUUAAUCAAUGUGCACUUAGGGGAAAGUGUUUCUGCUUAUUUUGAUGUUGUGGAGAAGCUAAAAUAUAUCUGUUUACCUAAGUAU